rnacentral:rRNA from 1 species
CAGCAGCCGCGGUAAUACAGAGGGUGCGAGCGUUAAUCGGAUUUACUGGGCGUAAAGCGUGCGUAGGCGGCUAAUUGAGUCGGAUGUGAAAUCCCCGAGCUUAACUUAGGAAUUGCAUUCGAUACUGGGAAGCUAGAGUAUGGGAGAGGAUGGUAGAAUUCCAGGUGUAGCGGUGAAAUGCGUAGAGAUCUGGAGGAAUACCGAUGGCGAAGGCAGCCAUCUGGCCUAAUACUGACGCUGAGGUACGAAAGCAUGGGGAGCAAACAGGAUUAGAUACCCCAGUAGUCCCUGUCUCUUAUAC